CCUUUUUGCUGUGGUUGCUGAUGCAGUGGUCUCUCUGCGUGGCCACGCAGCCACAGCAACUUGCCUCAACCAACCCACAGGAGCAGGAGAUACACCAGGGAGCUGCAAUUCCUUCUUAGCUGAGAUGGAGAACGGUCACAAAUACUGCACUACUGAAACGUGGAUGGAGAAAAAAAAUGGGGCUCCUCUCUUAGGGCCACGUCGGCACAGCUAGGCUUUCUUCCAUAUCGCGGCAAUGUUUACGUCGGUCAGAGCGACCAGGUACGUGAAGGUGGGAUCCGUGACCACGUUGUUCACCAAGACAUCUGUCAGCAGCUCACCGUUUGCCUUCAGUUCCGGCCAGUUCAGGACCUAAAUGAGAAAGAGCGGUAUGGGCAGAGAUGUAGAAUUUCCGGAAAUUUUGAAGCCACGGGGAAAAAAACUUAUUAGCCCUUUUUGCAGAUUGAAAGUCACUUCGUUACUUUAGGAACAUAAAAUAGAAUUACGUCCCAAGUUGGUUUGGCAUAAAAUUAUUACAUUUGGUAUAUUAAAAGUACAGUGUU